UGUGAACUCGAAGAGUAGGGCGGGACACGUGGUAUCCUGUCUGAAUAUGGGGGGACCAUCCUCCAAGGCUAAAUACUCCUGACUGACCGAUAGUGAACCAGUACCGUGAGGGAAAGGCGAAAAGAACCCCGGCGAGGGGAGUGAAAAAGAACCUGAAACCGUGUACGUACAAGCAGUGGGAGCACCUUCGGGUGUGACUGCGUACCUUUUGUAUAAUGGGUCAGCGACUUAUAUUCUGUAGCAAGGUUAACCGUAUAGGGGAGCCGCAGGGAAACCGAGUCUUAACUGGGCGUUAAGUUGCAGGGUAUAGACCCGAAACCCGGUGAUCUAGCCAUGGGCAGGUUGAAGGUUGGGUAACACUAACUGGAGGACCGAACCGACUAAUGUUGAAAAAUUAGCGGAUGACUUGUGGCUGGGGGUGAAAGGCCAAUCAAACCGGGAGAUAGCUGGUUCUCCCCGAAAGCUAUUUAGGUAGCGCCUCGUGAACUCAUCUUCGGGGGUAGAGCACUGUUUCGGCUAGGGGGUCAUCCCGACUUACCAACCCGAUGCAAACUACGAAUACCGAAGAAUGUUAUCACGGGAGACACACGGCGGGUGCUAACGUCCGUCGUGAAGAGGGAAACAACCCAGACCGCCAGCUAAGGUCCCAAAGUCAUGGUUAAGUGGGAAACGAUGUGGGAAGGCACAGACAGCCAGGAUGUUGGCUUAGAAGCAGCCAUCAUUUAAAGAAAGCGUAAUAGCUCACUGGUCGAGUCGGCCUGCGCGGAAGAUGUAACGGGGCUAAACCAUGCACCGAAGCUGCGGCAGCGACACUAUGUGUUGUUGGGUAGGGGAGCGUUCUGUAAGCCUGCGAAGGUGUGCUGUGAGGCAUGCUGGAGGUAUCAGAAGUGCGAAUGCUGACAUAAGUAACGAUAAAGCGGGUGAAAAGCCCGCUCGCCGGAAGACCAAGGGUUCCUGUCCAACGUUAAUCGGGGCAGGGUGAGUCGACCCCUAAGGCGAGGCCGAAAGGCGUAGUCGAUGGGAAACAGGUUAAUAUUCCUGUACUUGGUGUUACUGCGAAGGGGGGACGGAGAAGGCUAUGUUAGCCGGGCGACGGUUGUCCCGGUUUAAGCAUGUAGGCUGGUUAUCCAGGCAAAUCCGGAUAAUCAAGGCUGAGGUGUGAUGACGAGGCACUACGGUGCUGAAGUAACAAAUGCCCUGCUUCCAGGAAAAGCCUCUAAGCAUCAGGUAACAUCAAAUCGUACCCCAAACCGACACAGGUGGUCAGGUAGAGAAUACCAAGGCGCUUGAGAGAACUCGGGUGAAGGAACUAGGCAAAAUGGUGCCGUAACUUCGGGAGAAGGCACGCUGGUGUGUAGGUGAAGUCCCUGCG
rnacentral:rRNA from 1 species